GACAGCUUGGCUCAAGCCAGAUAACUAAUCAUUACUGAACAACUACACAGGGGAUAAAUCAAGGUAAUUCAAACAUAUAAGAUAAACAGCACUAACUCUCUGGCUUGAGCCAAGCCUGUCUGCCUGGAUGGUGCCAAUGGGGCCUGUGGCUGGAUCUGGCCCGUUUGGGAGCGUUGCAACGGGUCGGGUCCGAUAGUUCGAAGUUGGACGCAUUCCGGAGUUGGAAAUUUGCCGGUGUUUUGGCGGUCUAACUGGUAAGGCUGUGAAAACUGGGAAACUUCCCAUGGUUUCACUUCCAGUCCAACCCCGUGUUUCCUUUUAUCUAUUGGCGCUUAUCUUAAUGUUUAUGGUUAGUUCGUUCGUGUCCAGCCAACGCAUAAUUGCAUCACAACACUGCUCCAUAACUAUGUUUUAUUCACCAAGGAAAAAAAUAUACAAUUUUAAACUUACUCAUAAAAUAAAUCUCGCCUAUUUUCACAGAGAAAUACUUUAAACAAAAUUUGAGGAAUUUGAGAAAUAAUGAGGAGGAGGAACAAGGAGUACUUAGUGAAUGACAGGCUGACAUGGGAACCCCCCGCCUCUUGGAGGCACGUUAUAGCGAAGACAGAGAAGAAAUAGAGAUCGAUAAUUUAAUUUUACAGGAAAGGGGAAAUCCAGGAUGAAGUCUUGGUUAAGGAC
rnacentral:lncRNA from 1 species